rnacentral:rRNA from 1 species
UGGGGAAUAUUGGGCAAUGGGCGCAAGCCUGACCCAGCCAUGCCGCGUGAGUGAUGAAGGCCUUCGGGUCGUAAAGCUCUGUGGGGAGGGACGAAACAGCAUGUGGCUAACAUCCACGGGCCUUGACGGUACCUCCUUAGCAAGCACCGGCUAACUCCGUGCCAGCAGCCGCGGUAAUACGGAGGGUGCAAACGUUGCUCGGAAUCAUUGGGCGUAAAGCGCACGUAGGCGGUCUGUCAAGUCGGAUGUGAAAGCCCUGGGCUCAACCCAGGAAGUGCAUUCGAAACUAGCAGACUUGAAUAUGGAAGAGGGUCGCGGAAUUCCCGGUGUAGAGGUGAAAUUCGUAGAUAUCGGGAGGAACACCAGUGGCGAAGGCGGCGACCUGGGCCAAUAUUGACGCUGAGGUGCGAAAGCGUGGGGAGCAAACAGGAUUAGAUACCCGUGUAGUCC